CCUACGGGUGGCUGCAGUGAGGAAUAUUGGUCAAUGGCCGGAAGGCUGAACCAGCCAUGCCGCGUGAAGGUCAGUGCCCUAUGGGCGUUAAACUUCUUUUGUGCGGGAGCAAUAAUGGUCACGUGUAGUCAGAUGCCCGUACCUUAUGAAUAAGCAUCGGCUAACUCCGUGCCAGCAGCCGCGGUAAUACGGAGGAUGCGAGCGUUAUCCGGAUUUAUUGGGUUUAAAGGGUGCGUAGGCGGUAUUUUAAGUUAGUGGUAAAACGUCGGGGCUUCACCUUGAUUGGCCAUUAAAACUGGAGUACUAGAGUACAGACGAGGUAGGCGGAAUAAGUUAAGUAGCGGUGAAAUGCUUAGAUAUAACUUAGAACCCCGAUAGCGAAGGCAGCUUACCAGACUGUUACUGACGCUGAAGCACGAGAGCGUGGGUAGCGAACAGGAUUAGAUACCCUAGUAGUC
rnacentral:rRNA from 1 species